UUCAUAGUUCUACAUUCAGGCAAUCUUUCUUAGUCAUCUGGCUGUAACUAGUUUUCCAAAGGGUAAUGGCCUCACCUCUGAGACAGCUGGUUGGUGUAACCUGUCUCAAUAUAUAUGAGAUGGGACAGGAUGCUCUGGGAGGCUUAAUGCCUUUUAGUUGUAAUUGUGCUCUAGAUUCU